UCCCUGUUAGCUCAGAUGGAAAAGCAUUUGCCUGCAAUGCAGGAUACUGGGGUUCAAUCCCUGGAUUGGGAA
rnacentral:tRNA from 1 species